AUCCAGCUGACGAUUCCCAAAUAAGACAAAACGUGCGUCUAACUGGAU
rfam:Schistosoma rodhaini strain Burundi genome assembly, scaffold: SROB_scaffold0015076